GGGUCGAUGGCGUAGUUGGUUAUCGCAUCUGUCUAACAUGACCAUGACUCGACGUAGCGGUGCACAGAAGGUCCUCAGUUCGAACCUGGGUCGACUCA